rnacentral:lncRNA from 1 species
UUUGUUUUAGUCUAUUUUGUUUCAUAUUGCCAUUCCCUUGUACACUGGUAGUGAAUCUGUAAUACCCUGUAAACAAGGGCAGACAGUAUAUUAGCAGACUCAUUGUUUUCAAAAUACUAGCUGUUGUGUUGCAUCACUUGUUUAAUGCCCUAUUUGAUAUGUUCAAGUAGCAUGCAUCCCUCAGUUUGCUAACAUCACCUGCGUCUCAUAUUACAACAGGAGUGAGAUCAGAUGCUGUACAUUACAUGCAAAAUGUCAUCACUCUCCAGUGACAAAAGAAACAAGGAGGAAAUAACCACUCAUGCUUUGUGUGGAUGAGAGAUUGGGAGGUCUGAUGACUCGUUUGUGUUUCUGGAAUUCAGCUAAGGAUGCACUGGUUGCUGACCUACUGAAAAUUUCAACGUGUCCAACAGAAGCCGUGAAAAUUUGUCCAAGGGCCGUGUUAAAAAUAUCCCUAGGCCAUUAUAGCCUGUAAGAAGGUAAGAGAGAAAAGUGUGUUUUAAGGAAGAUUCAAAAAAAUGGCACAAUUUCUGAGUAAAAGAUCUCAGAAAGAUAAUGGGUAUCAGAAGACAUAUUAAAUGUCCUGAUGACUUUCAAGACUAGGCUGGAAAUAACAUGAGGAUGAACUGCUAUUCAACAGUCCAUCCCUUAGUAGAAAUAAGUUCAAAGAAAUAUCAAGCAAAUGUCACUAAUCCUUUUGAAUUAGCAGUGCAAGUUCAUGAGGUGACUUGUGCAAGUGAUGUAAUAUGCAGAAAACCUCGAAAAACUGAACAUACAUUAUAUGUGAAGCAAGAAGCAAAGUAAACUGGAACAUUGAAAUGAAACCAAGUGGCAUGCAUUCUGUAUCCACAUCAAAGGUCUGGAAAAAACGCAUUAGAAACAAGGUAAUGUCUAUUUUUUGAACUUCAGUAUCAUAUAGAAAUUGCACAUUGUGUUGCAGCCACUCUGACCUCAUGCCGCUUAGCAUGAGGUUUGGACUUAAGAAGGAUUAACAUGAGUGGGACAGUUGCAAACAGUUGGGGGUAUUUUGCUUGUUUGUUUAUUUACCUUCAUGAUCAUUUGAUCCACAUUACAUUUAUGGAUCUGGUAAUACCAUUUAGUGAAGCCCAUGUAUUAAAUAUCAGUUAAAAAAAAAUAAAAAGUGUGUUUUUAUAAAACA